rnacentral:lncRNA from 1 species
AAUAUUCAACUGGAGAUACCUUACUUUUUUAUCGUUCCGGCUGCUGUAUUAUCCGAUUCUUGUGUGUUGGUUGGUAUAUCGGAAGCUUUAGUGCAAGAUGUUCGAAGAAAAACUUAUAGCAGAGAUUGAAACACAACUGCUUGUGGGACAAACGACAGCUUAGUUACCGCGAUCGGGUGAAGAAAGAUUUGGCUUGGCGAAAUGUAGCUGCUGCUGUGGGACAUCCUGAGGAAAACUGCCGAAAGCGAUGGAAAUCGUUAAGAGACCGAUAUGGAAUAGAAUUGAAGGUUGAUCAACAACCUAGCGGAAGUGCUGCGUCGUUUUUGAAAGACACGGUCACGCCCAGACAGACAACAACAAACAUCGUCUCCCAAACGCCAGAAGUUCUCGGACAAGAACCAGAUAUACUGGAUACUUCCUUUGGAUUCCAAAUAGGCGAGAGUGGGAACAUUAUAAUAGAAGAGCAAGAAACCACUGCCCCAACGCCGGCUAAGAGACAAAAGAAAAAAAACGAUGAGAACGCCGCCUUUAACGAUCUAGUCAACGAAGUAAGUCAGUUUGUGGAUAGUCAAAAAAAA